GCGCGAAAACUUUACAAUGCCGGCAACGGCGAUAAGGGGACCUCGAGUGCCAGGUUACAAAUCUGGCUGUCGUGAUGCCUAAAAAGCAUUUCAUAGCAAGGGCCGGGCAAGACCGGUGCCAGCCGCCGCGGUAACACCGGCGGCUCGAGUGGUAACCGUUAUUAUUGGGUCUAAAGGGUCUGUAGCCGGCCGGAUAAGUCUCUUGAGAAAUCUGGCAGCUUAACUGUCAGGCUUUCAGGAGAUACUGUCUGGCUCGAGGCCGGGAGAGGUGAGAGGUACUUCAGGGGUAGGGGUGAAAUCUUGUAAUCCUUGAAGGACCACCAGUGGCGAAGGUGUCUCACCAGAACGGACCUGACGGCAAGGGACGAAAGCUAGGGGAGCGAACA
rnacentral:rRNA from 1 species